rnacentral:rRNA from 1 species
GACGAACGCUGGCGGCGUGCUUAACACAUGCAAGUCGAACGGAAAGGCCCUGCUUUUGUGGGGUGCUCGAGUGGCGAACGGGUGAGUAACACGUGAGUAACCUGCCCUUGACUUUGGGAUAACUUCAGGAAACUGGGGCUAAUACCGGAUAGGAGCUCCUGCUGCAUGGUGGGGGUUGGAAAGUUUCGGCGGUUGGGGAUGGACUCGCGGCUUAUCAGCUUGUUGGUGGGGUAGUGGCUUACCAAGGCUUUGAUGGGUAGCCGGCCUGAGAGGGUGACCGGCCACAUUGGGACUGAGAUACGGCCCAGACUCCUCGGGGAGGCAGAAGUGGGGAAUAUUGAAAAAUGGGCGGAAGCCUGAUGAAGGAACGCCGCGUGCGGGAUGAGGGCCUUGGGGUUGUAAACCGCUUUCGCCUGUGACGAAGCGUGAGUGACGGUAAUGGGUAAAGAAGCACCGGCUAACUACGUG